GAUGUUCUGGGCCGCACGCGCGCUACACUGACACAGCCAACGAGUUCAUCACCUUGGCCGGAAGGUCUGGGUAAUCUUGUUAAACUGUGUCGUGCUGGGGAUAGAGCAUUGCAAUUAUUGCUCUUCAACGAGGAAUGCCUAGUAAGCGCAUGUCAUCAGCAUGCGUUGAUUACGUCCCUGCCCUUUGUACACACCGCCCGUCGCUACUACCGAUUGAAUGGCUCAGUGAGGCCUUCGGACUGGCUCAGGGAGGUCGGCAACGACCACCCAGAGCCGGAAAGUUGGUCAAACUCGGUCAUUUAGAGGAAGUAAAAGUCGUAACAAGGUCUCCGUAGGUGAACCUGCGGAGGGAUCAUUA
rnacentral:rRNA from 1 species